AUAUCACACCUACUUUGAUGAUAUAUAUGCAAAAAUUGGAGUGAUACAGAGAAGAUGAGUGUGGCUUCUGCUCAAGGAAGAUGCAGACCUGUUUGUAGCAUUGUAGAGAAGGUUUUU